GCGACCGGCGCACGGGUGAGUAACGCGUAUCCAACCUUCCGUACACUCAGGGAUAGCCUUUCGAAAGAAAGAUUAAUACCUGAUGGUAUGAUGAGAUUGCAUGAUAGCAUCAUUAAAGAUUUAUCGGUGUACGAUGGGGAUGCGUUCCAUUAGGUAGUAGGCGGGGUAACGGCCCACCUAGCCAACGAUGGAUAGGGGUUCUGAGAGGAAGGUCCCCCACAUUGGAACUGAGACACGGUCCAAACUCCUACGGGAGGCAGCAGUGAGGAAUAUUGGUCAAUGGACGAGAGUCUGAACCAGCCAAGUAGCGUGAAGGAUGAAGGUCCUACGGAUUGUAAACUUCUUUUAUACGGGAAUAAAGUAUCCUACGUGUAGGAUUUUGUAUGUACCGUAUGAAUAAGCAUCGGCUAACUCCGUGCCAGCAGCCGCGGUAAUACGGAGGAUGCGAGCGUUAUCCGGAUUUAUUGGGUUUAAAGGGAGCGCAGACGGGAGAUUAAGUCAGUUGUGAAAGUUUGCGGCUCAACCGUAAAAUUGCAGUUGAUACUGGUUUCCUUGAGUGCAGUUGAGGCAGGCGGAAUUCGUGGUGUAGCGGUGAAAUGCUUAGAUAUCACGAAGAACCCCGAUUGCGAAGGCAGCUU
rnacentral:rRNA from 1 species